rnacentral:rRNA from 1 species
AAAGCACUUUGAAAAGAGAGUGCAAGAGAACGUGAAAUCGAUAUAAUGGAAGCGAAUGAAGUCGACGUAUCUGGGGCGUAUUCAGUUGUUUGGUUGGUUGAUAACUGCUUGAGUUGGAUUCCGCAAGGUUCCGCUUGGGUGUUUGUCGGUCGGCUGAGCGAUGCAUUUACGUUCGGAGUGCGGCGAGUCGGUUGGUGCUGUUGGUGGAGGUUCGGUUAAGAGGGCACACUUCCUGGUGUGUAACCUUGGCUGUUCGGAUAUCAAUUGGCGCUGGUCGGUGAUGGGAUUAGCAAUGGCCUACGAGUGUGCGGUCUGAAUUUUGUGAGCUUUGGGUUUAGCGCAAGCGCUGUUCCCUUAGUUUGCAGGGUUUGGGUUGUGCGUUCACUUUGCUUGUCUCGCUGUACAGUCGAUCACUCAUUUGACCCGUCUUGAAACACGGACCAAGGAGUUUAUGGUGCACGCGAGUCAUUGGGUUUGAACGAAGCCCAUAGGCGUAAUGAAAGUGAUGCCGUAAAGGUAUUGAUAUGAUCGGUUUUCUUUCGAGUUGACCGAGCAGUAUCUCCCCAUUCCGAGGGCUUGCUCUGGUGUGGAGGAUGAGCGUGUGCGAUGAGACCCGAAAGAUGGUGAACUAUGCCUGAACAGGAUGAAGCCAGAGGAAACUCUGGUGGAAGUCCGAAGCGGUUCUGACGUGCAAAUCGAUCGUC